GAAUGACACACAGACAACACAUCACAACAGAGCCACAACAGGGGAGCUUGUGAACAAAUAUACUGAGCAAAGGGAACCAAAACAUCAAACAUAAAAUAGUUAUAGAUAAAUAUUUGAUAUCUAAACAUUAGAAGAUGUCUUUUGUACCAAAAUUUCUAUCCACAUUUAUGAGCGGAGUGACUAAAAGUGCACUUUUCAAGUCUUUUCCAACAAGUCUUUUGGCGAUCCUCUUGGAGGUUUUGGCCGAUUAUACAUUUUCAUGUCCUUGUGAUUCUAAAAUGAACACAACACUGAUUGGCCUUAUCUUCAGUGCACCUGCUAUUUUUGCAUUUGCUUUAACAUUUCUCCUUCUCCUACAUGCUAAAAAGAACAAGACAAAGAACAAAAUGACAAAGAAGAAGAACAUGCAAUAAAAACAGGAAACAAAGUUAUAUAUAGUUAUAUUCUAAUUAGUCUGAUUCCAUCUAUUGUAUGGAUCAUUGGGCUGUACUUUGAUGGGGAGUAUGUCGCCUGUAGUAAAACGAACUGGGAAGGACUGUAUGUUUUUGAUGACAAGCUAAAAAUAAAAUGGUGUGAACCUAAUGAAUUGAUCUCUGGAAGGGAUCAGACUGAACUGAAAAGCCUGACUCUCUCUUUUAUUGCUAAAUCACAGGUUUACGGUUAUGCUUUGCUUAUUGUCUUCAGCAUUGUGCUUGUAAGCAUUAUGUCUUAUAUGUACUACAACAAUCAAAAAACGCAAAAGUGGGACACUGGGAAAUUGAUAAUCUAAGGAAGAGGGAGAGGAUCCAUCAACAGCAUAAUGACAUGUCCAGUGCUGCAGGAAAAAAAGGACAGUCUAAAACUUUUAUUAUGCUUUUUUUUUUUUUUUUUUUGAUAAAGAAUCAAUCCAUGUUCUGUUCUUGUCACAGUUAUGGACUGGUAGUUCACGGACGACUGCCUCAUCACAUUUUACCUUGCUGGACUAAACACUUCCACACAAGCGCAGUUGUCCGGGGACAGUCCUUGAGAGAGCCUCACCACCUUUAUUGAGUGGGUGCUGGUGUCCUGUGGAUCUCCACCUAUAGUGGAUGAUAACACCAGCCCCACUCUGAACCCACAGCCCAGCCCACCAGCACCCCGCUGCGCAGAGCCUGGAUCUCACCACGGACGGAGAGCCAAAGCCCACUGCGACCAAUGAGCCAUCACCUCAGAGAGCGACUGAGCCCAAGGAUCGCCCGGAGCUAGAGCCUGACCUGUGUGACCGGGUGUGAGAGCCGGCCAAUGAGUGCACGCCAGUGGAUGAACCUAGGGAGUGCGAGGGCUUGGAUGGUACUUAUUUGCAGACAUGCCCAUUCUUCUACAACCAGCUUCAGAACUGUCUAUCUGCCCUGAAUUCCCUGGCUGUCCUAUUUUGGUCAAGGAGGCCAUUUGUGAACUGUUUGUCAGUCCUGAACUGCCUGUACUGAACUGCCUGCCUGUCCUGACACAACCACAGAGGUCAUUCCUAUAUCCGCUGCAUUCCCGGUGAUAGGAGUUGCUAUCUGGUGUAUGUGGACAGCACACACCAUCUCAGAACCCUCUACCGGUCAUGAUUACCAACCCACACACCCCGUUAGUCGUUAGACACAAGUCCCUUCUGUCUCUGUCCUGGCUCCUCCCUCUAUCUGAUUUAGGCUCCUCAUGUUUCCUUCAUGGCUCCUCACUAGGAUUUCUGGGCCCUGGGCCCUAACUACUAAGUACUUACAUUGAAAUUAAUCAUUUGAUACAAUGCACUUAUUGUGUACAUACAUGUAUUUACAUUGUACUUAGAAAAACACCUGCAUGUAAUUACAUCUGUAAUUAAUUUCUAUAAUUAUAUUUAUAAUUACACUGUUGAUCAAUCCAUUACACCUUAACUCACCCUUAAACCUACCCAUACCACCAAACCUCUCCCUGACCUUACCCAUAUCCUACCUCAAUAGCAGCAAAAGUGUUUUGCCAUACAAUUUGCAUUUUUUUUUUUUUUACAAUUGUAAUGCCAUGUUUUUACUAAGAGUAUAAAACAGAAAUAUGGAUUGAUGAACUGAAAUGAUUUAAAUAGCUGAAAUGAUAGACUUUAAAAAUGAAACUAAAACUGCCAGGUGGCAGCAGGUCAGCAAACUGAGUUUAUCACUGAAUCAUUAAUUCAAUUGAUUCGUUUGAACAGCUAAUUCAUUCAGGAAUUAAGUAGGUGAUUAUUUUUUUUUAUUAAUGGGUAAUUGAAUCAUUGACUCAGAUUGUUUAAAAGCACAGGUUCAUUCAUAAACAAAAUUCAUGUGUCCUUGAAGAUGCACAGUGGCUCAUCUGGGACUUUGAGACUAUUUUCGUUGCCUGUUUAAACAGUUUAAUGAUUUAAGAGCCAGAAGACGAGCCAGAAGAAGAAGUCUCUAUUUUCCUCACCUUCCUUGCUUUUUACUUUCAGCAGUAAAAAAUGUUUCAGUGCGCAUUUUACUGUCACUUUCAAAUUAGUGGCAGUUCGAGCAAAGCAAUUAUUUCUUUUUAAUUUGUUUGAAUUUUUCCAAUUUUUAUCGCUUUCCUUCACUUUUAAAAAGCUGAAAAGCUCAAUGCACAUUUUACUUUCACUUUCGAAUUAGCGGCACUCAGCAUCAUUUGCUUGAAUUCAAUUCAACCAAACCGUCCCGAAACGGUGACUCUAAAACCGUGAUACAAAGUUAAAUGCGACUGAAAUAGUCGCACUGUAGAGGGCUGGGAGAUUGGCCACAAUCGCAAAAUAAUG